GACGUAGGGCGCGAGCGUUGUCCGGAUUUAUUGGGCGUAAAGAGCUCGUAGGCGGCUUGUCGCGUCGUCCGUGAAAACCUGCAGCUCAACUGCAGGCUUGCGGUCGAUACGGGCAGGCUGGAGUUCGGUAGGGGAGACUGGAAUUCCCGGUGUAGCGGUGAGAUGCGCAGAUAUCGGGAGGAACACCGGUGGCGAAGGCGGUUCUCUGGGCCUUACCUGACGCUGAGGAGCGAAAGCGUGGGGAGCGAACAGG
rnacentral:rRNA from 1 species